AGCUACAAUGCAUACAUAUGCAACAUUUACCCUAAUCUCCUUCUCUCAGUCUCAGGCUCUCAGAUGAUUCAACAAUUAACCACCAAACAUGAGAUCGACGACUUCCUUUUCAUCAACAACAUUUUCCUUUUUAUCCCUUCUUCAACACUUCAACAGCUUUCUCUUCAAUCUUCACUCUUCAUCAACAACGCUUUCCUUGUUUUUCCCAUCAUCAACGACAUCCUUUUCAGUCUUCACUGAAUCACUAUUUAUCAACAGGUCAAGUCUUCUCCACCUGUUCAGACUGCAACACCUGCGCACAAUGAUCCUGCAAUCAUCUAGGUGAAGAAAAUGACAUGGUCUCAUGCAUAUCUAUCUAUAGAUCAAUUAGAUAUUGUUGAUUUUUUCAGUCAUGCCGUGGUAAAAAAUUUUGAACUAGAAUGAAGAAAAUGGAGAUUUUUCUUAGUAAUCUAACAUUUAGAUAAGCAUUUAUGCUAACUUGUAACAAAGCCAGUGGUAUAAUAUUUUCGUUGUUCAGAUAUCAAUUUGAUAUACUCAUAAUUUUAUUGACUAUU